GUUGCUAAUGCUCUAUUCUGCCCCUGGAAACCGUAUAAAAACUCGCUGAACAGGUACUGAUGGUCGCCACCUCUCCUUCGGGUCUGGGACUACCACAGUGCAUUGGAACAAUAUAUUUCUCUUGCUUUUUGCAUCAAUCCUGGCUCCAUGUGGUUCACUCAGGGGGUCCCCGGCAGGACGAACUCAAGCAAGGCAGCAACUGCAGGUGACGUCACCAACGACAGUAGAAAGAACAGGUUCCGGAAGGUUGGAGCUGCUAAUAAGGAGGUGCUUUGGUUCCUUUCAGCAAGGAGUGUCAUGUAUAAGCAACAUCUGAUACCAGUUAUGCCAGUGGUCUUGGGUUCAAAUUCAGAAAAUAAAUAUAAAGACAACAACAACAACAACAACAAGGUCACUUCAUGGACCUCUUCAUGAUUCUCCCUAGACAACUACAGAAUCACGCAUAAUCAUUCUCAGACCCCCAAGACACCUUCGAGAAGAGCUACAAAAUAAAUAAUCAGGAACAAAAGAAGAUAAAUAAAAGUGGCAAGCACAUGGCCCAAGAGAGUUCCUGUGAAUAGCACCAUGCCUAACACUCAGCUGCCUGAGAACCAAGUGAAGAGGAAAACACGAUUUCCAAUGAAGAGUGAGAUGCUUUGACAGCUGUCGACAAAGUGUCAAAUACACCGUGGCAAUGAAAGAAUAUCGAGGUAAGAUGACCUUGUCUAUUGCCUAUCAUAGAAAGUAUUAAUAGCAUCUUAAAAGCCUGAAGUAUUUUGUGAUUUACAAAAAUAUUAUGAUUAUAUAGAAUACUGCUAUAAAUUUUUGUCAAUCCACUUUAUCAAGAUGGAGAACUUACCAUAAAUUCCUAGUUUUCUGAGAAUUUUUAUUAUGAAUGUCUCUUGAACUUGUAGGUUUACUUUUAUGUACCAGCUAAAAUAAUAAUAGCAUUUGGCUUGGCUUUUUAUCAUGUUAUUAUAAGUUACAUAGAUUUUUAAGUAAUUUUUAAAGUUAGAAUUCCUUUCACUGUGACAUACUCGUAUACAAGUAUCAUCACACUUUGUUACCCUUAGCCCUGCUUCCAUUAAUUCCUCUCUCCCACUCUUCCUCCAUGUCCUGCUCUUAGCUCUGCCUAAUACCCCAAAUACUGCGCACUUCUGCUUUCAUGUCAUGAAGAUUCUAGUAACCACUUUUUGUUGCCUUCCCGCCUCCCUUUAGAUAUCUUCCAAUCUCUCACAGUCUCUGGCAUUCCUUCAUGUUCUACAUACAUAUUUAUAGAUAAAUUUAAAUCUAGAUUACAUAGAUGAGUCUUUAUUGUUUCACUCAACAUGAUCUCCAGCUCUAUCAGUUUUCUUAUAGGAGUCACAACUUUGUUCUUCUUUCCAGUUGAAUAAUACACUGACUUUAUUCCUCUUCCUACUUCUUUUUUUUUCUUUUUUAUGUUGAUUUUCUAAAAUUUUCUGAAAUAAUUCAAUUAAAACACUUCACCCUUCCCUUUCCUCCAUCCACCCUCCCAUAUGUCCCUCUCUGCUUUCUUUCAAACCCUUGGCUUCUUUCUACACUAAUUGUUAUUAUAUGAAUACACUAAUUGUUAUUAUAUGAAUACAUGUACUUGUAUAUAUGUAUAUUCCAAAAUAUAGCCUAUUCAGUCCAUAUAAUGCUACUUGUAUACAUGAUUUCAAGAUUGACAGUGACCUUUGAAUUAAAUAUAUUUGCAUUUCUUUGAUAAUUCCCCAGUUAAUAAUGAUAUAUAAUAUCAACAUGUAUGCAUGCAUGUGUAUUUGGUUUUAAUGUGUUACUGUCUUGAUAAGUAUUUUGUGUCUAUGUACAUUGGACUGUUGCUAUGAGAUUUUUAUUACUUAUAGUAUCUUUGGACAAUUUUGAUACUAAGUAUUUACCUUAACAAGUAAGUUAGGAAAUAUUUCACAACUUCUAUUUUACUUGCCUACACAUCCAUCUCUGAGAGAUAAACAUUUUAUUUAAUAGUUCCAAAAUCUCAGUGAUUAGCUCAUUCAUUUUUUUUAAGUUAGAUCAAGAUACAGAAUCAGCACCUUGUAGAAAUGAUGUAGAAAUAGGAGUUACAAAAGGCAACCGGAAGUAAAUCAGUCCAGGUUAUCAUUAGAAACAGAAUAGUAGGAGAAAUCCAAAACACCAUCAGAUCCUUCUACAAAA
rnacentral:lncRNA from 1 species